UUUUAGUUUUUAGUCUUAAUAUGUUCUCUUCAAGUCUCUAGUCACUGAUAGAGAGCUCUUCCCCUCAUUUUCAAUCAAUUCUGUCACAUAUUUUUUAUAUGUCACGUUAGUAGAUUUGAGGCUUCUACUUUUCCUUUUCCAUGCAGAUUUUUCAGCAGAAGAAUGAUGAACUCUCACAAGCAGCUAUAACACUUUUGAUGAUCCCUAUAAAGGAAUUGUAAACCACCACAUGAUGCUCUUGCCUCAUGGCAAGAAUUAUUUUAGACUAUUAUUUUGUUGGGGCUCUGGAAAGCGAGUAAGACUGUGUACAUAUACCCUUCCAACACUAGAACCGAGU